rnacentral:rRNA from 1 species
UCCUUGGAACAUCCUAGAGAUAGGACUUUCCCUUCGGGGACCAAGUGACAGGUGGUGCAUGGUUGUCGUCAGCUCGUGUCGUGAGAUGUUGGGUUAAGUCCCGCAACGAGCGCAACCCCUAAUCUUAGUUGCCAGCAUUCAGUUGGGCACUCUAAGGUGACUGCCGGUGACAAACCGGAGGAAGGCGGGGAUGACGUCAAAUCAUCAUGCCCCUUAUGACCUGGGCUACACACGUGCUACAAUGGAUGGUACAAAGGGCAGCGAAGCCGCGAGGUGUAGCAAAUCCCAUAAAACCAUUCUCAG